AGCAGCAGUCCCCUAACGCCACCCCAAACUGGAGGUGUUACUAUUAAUUAUAAAUAAGUAAUAAACAUUCAGAGGAUCGCGUGGAUACUAUGCCGCUGAAAGGUUUGUGCCGAAGGCAUAGAACAAAGAAGGAUGAGCAGACAUCUAAGCAAUGACCCAACUGAGCUGCGUUAUGAUGAGGAUGUUUCUGCUGCUCUCCAUAGCUGGGACUCAAGGUCAAACAACACGUCCAAGCCCAGCCGGUCUGUGGACACGUGCUCUGGCAGUAUCAGCUGUCUGUCCUUCAACCUCUAAAGGUCAUGAAGUUGCGCUCCUUCGAAUCAGACGAGGAUGAAAUUUUCCAGUUCUUCAAGAACUUUCAUUCACCUUAACCUUGUUUAUGCAGGUGGAUGUGAGCUGAAGCAGUUGCACUUUGAACCUACAUACCGCAGCAGAAAAACAAGCUUGUUUAUCAUUUAGCUUUUGCUGCCAUGGCAACAGCAGGGAACAGACCCAGAAUUGGGACAUUGCAGUUGAAAGUUUUGUGCUGCACUGACAGAGACUCGCUGCUGCCCCCCGCAGGUUCAUAAGUCCCCUAAUAAACAGAUUACUUGGUCU